GAACCUAAAAUCAAAGACAAAAAGAUAGCAGAACUAAACAAAACAGAGUCUACAUAACACACUUGAAGAUAAUAGACAGCACUGGAAACACCAGCAUUACAGUGCACUGUUCACUUUUUCUUCUGGGCAGCCUUGGUGACCUUGGCACCUGUUGGGUCCUUCUUGUCGACAUUCUUGAUGACACCAACAGCAACAGUUUGUCGCAUGUCCCUCACAGCAAAACGACCCAAUGGUGGGUACUCAGAGAAGGUCUCAACAACCAUAGGCUUGGUCGGAAUCAUCUUAACCAUACCAGCAUCACCAUUCUUCAAGAACUUAGGCUCCUUCUCAAGUUCCUUACCAGAACGCCUGUCAAUCUUGGUCAAGAUCUCAGCAAACUUGACAGCAAUGUGGGAAGUGUGGCAGUCGAGAACUGGUGCAUAUCCAUUUCCGAUCUGGCCAGGAUGGUUCAUGAUGAUGACCUGGGAGGUGAAGUUGGAUGCUCCCUUGGCUGGGUCAUCCUUGGAGUUUGAGGCAACAAAACCACGCUUGAGAUCCUUAACAGCAACAUUCUUAACGUUGAACCCAACAUUGUCGCCAGGGAGUGCCUCCUGGAGAGCUUCGUGGUGCAUCUCAACAGACUUUACUUCAGUUGUCAGACCAGUAGGGCCAAAGGUCACAACCAUACCAGGCUUGAGCACACCAGUCUCCACACGACCAACAGGGACGGUUCCGAUACCACCAAUCUUGUAAACAUCCUGAAGUGGAAGACGGAGGGGUUUGUCUGAGGGCCUCUUGGGCUCAUUAAUCUGGUCAAGAGCCUCAAGGAGGGUUGGGCCCUUGUACCAGUCAAGGUUGGUAGACCUCUCAAUCAUAUUGUCUCCC
rnacentral:lncRNA from 1 species